CUAUUUAAUAGGAAGUUGCGCUGUGAGAAAGUUUGCAGGCAGGCAAUUAAAAAUUGCGGAAGCGACAUUUCCAAGCUUUUUCUCGUUUCACGCGUAUAAAUGGCUUGAAAAGUUUCAUUUCGACGUCGUAGCAACAUGUGGCUCACUGUCCAUAAAUGUUUGAUCGUCCUACUGCACGCGCUUGUUGCUGUAGCGAUAAAAGAGAGGCAAAAUGUCCUUUUCAUCAUUGCUGACGAUCUGAGGACAUCUUUGGGCUGCUAUGGAGACGCCACCGUAAAAUCGCCAAAUAUUGACCAACUGGCAUCCAAAAGUCACGUUUUUCUCAAAGCUUUUGCACAGCAAGCUGUGUGCGCUCCGAGUAGGACUUCCAUGUUAACAAGUCGCAGACCAGACACAACCAGGCUGUACGAUUUUAAAUCCUACUGGAGAGUCCACGCAGGAAAUUACACGACUCUUCCACAGUAUUUUAAAUCACAAGGUUAUACUACUAUGUCUGUGGGCAAGGUUUUUCACCCAGGCAUCGCCUCCAACCAUACUGAUGACUAUCCCUACAGCUGGUCCAUCCCUCCGUACCACCCGGCUUCAUUUAACUUUGAGAAGAAAAAGGUGUGUAAAGGAGAGGAUGGUCGACUGCAUGCCAACCUGCUGUGCGCAGUGAAUGUGAGCGAGCAGCCCGGGGGGACCCUCCCCGACAUGGAGAGCGCGGACGAGGCGGUGAGGCUACUGAAAAGGGGGGCCGCGGACGGCAGCCCUUUCUUCCUGGCUGUGGGCUUUCACAAACCUCACAUUCCCUUCCGGAUCCCGCGGGAGUAUUUGCGCCUCUACCCCUUAGAACAAAUGACUCUGGCCCCCGACCCAGACGUCCCCAAGCGCCUCCCCGCUGUGGCCUACAACCCUUGGACAGACAUUAGGAAGCGAGACGACAUCCAAAAGCUCAACGUCAGUUUCCCUUAUGGACCGAUUCCGAAAGACUUUCAGCUACGUCUCCGCCAGCACUACUACGCUGCCGUGUCCUACGUGGAUGCCCAGGUGGGCCGGGUGCUCAGCGCCCUCGAUGCCCUGGGGCUGGCUCGGAACACCAUCGUGGUUUUCACCUCCGAUCACGGUUGGUCACUCGGUGAGCACGGCGAAUGGGCGAAGUACUCCAACUUUGACGUGGCAACCCAGGUCCCCCUUCUCUUCUACGUCCCUGAAGUUGGCGAAACUUACGCUCGGCUGAAAGCGUCUACUUUCCCCUUUGUGGACGUCUUCAGCCGAUCAGAGUUCAUCUUCGAGACUGCUGAAGCUAUAGAGAACGUGGUGGAGCUGGUGUCGGUUUUCCCAACCGUUGCCCAGUUGGCCGGCCUGAAAAUACCCGCACCCUGUCCCGAUGUUUCUUUCCAGGUGGAGCUGUGCACAGAUGGAAUGGACCUGGCGCUUGAAUUCAAACCCAAAAAGAAAAUUAAUAGGGAGGCAUUGGCUUUCAGCCAGUACCCGCGGCCUGCUGAUACGCCACAGGAGGACUCGGACCUCCCCGACCUGAAAGACAUAAAGGUGAUGGGCUACUCCCUGCGUUGCUACGACUACAGAUUUACUCUGUGGCUCGGCUUUGACCCCAAAACGUAUCAGGUCAACAUGUCCGACGUCCACGCCGGAGAAAUUUACUUGCUGGCAGACGACCCCGGUCAGGACAACAACGUGUACGAUGACAUUGAGCAACGCGGCGUGAACACGACGAUGAUGAUGAUGAAGAUGAAGAACGUGCCCGCCGCUGGCGGUGUACAGAUGAGGAUGAAACUGCAACUCGUCUACCUCACUGCAGGAUUGAAGAAGGCACCGUGACGCAUGGUCGCGCAUCAGCAAAGGAACUCAAAAGCAAAAAUAAAUGCAGACUCUGCGGGACACAAGGUCAGAUUUCAACAGCAAAUUUCACACGCUGCUUGCUUGGAGGAACGUCGAUAAUGAAAGCGUUGGACGAGUUUUUCUGUCGUCUUUACGCGGGUCACGUUUCUGAUGCACUUUGUCACCUCGUGAACACGUUUGCGCCAUUUGUGUGCGCGUGCUCGCUGUCAUAAUUCAGUACAAAAGAAGUGAUUCCAGUCUAUUUGCCAUUUGUAAAAUGUCCAUGGGAAGUUAAGGAGGAAUUUUGGAAUUGCCACAAAUCAAAAUUUGUACUGCAUAAAACAAGUCCACCCACUCAAACGGCCCGAUUUCAGCAAGACAAGAAAUAGGAAGGAAGCUGCAUACGCCAUCUGGAGCUGAGCUUCUUCCUUUCAUUCUAUUGACAACGUGCAGACAAUGAAGUCAAGAUUCAUCGCAAAUGAUGCAAAUAGUCCAAUGAAUGAAUGUAGAAAUCCAUCAAUGUCUUUUUGAAUGGAGGACUUUCUUUAUUGCAAACAGACCGUGCUGAGUGCACCUGUGAGAUUUUAUUCAUUAAAAAAAACAGCAUCUAAUUAUGAGAAUCCAUGAGUAUUAUUAUUUUUUUUAAUGACUGUAAAUCCAAUGAUAGCGAGAGAUUUUAGAUGUGCUUCCGCUUUGGGAAAUUUAAAGGCUCCAUUUUUUCUUCUCUGUGCAUGAACUUUACUUUGCUGUUAAUUUUUCACCGCACACUGAUGUUAAUUUCUUAUUUUUAUGGCAUUUGUCAUAAAUGGCAUAGUCUAGUCGUGUUACAGGAGCCGAUGGACCUUUCCGAUGGCGAUCUUAAGCUCCGCCCCCUUAGCCAUGUCCCACAAGCUUCCAAAAUGGCGAUUGAACAGAACAUGUUUGAAGUCGAUUCUCUAUCGUGUAUUCCAGAUAACAUUGCGAUAUAUAUAUAUAUUUUUUUUUUUUGCCAAAUGCGUCAGACUUUUGUCCAAAUACUUUGAAACGACUGGAGGAUGAAAGAAAUCCACAUUACUUACAUUCAUCCAUCCAUUUUCUUAGCCGCUUAUCCUCACGAGGGUCACAGGUGUGCUGGAGCCUAUCCCAGUUGUCAACGGGCAGGAGGCGGGGUACACCCUGAACUGGUUGCCAGCCAAUCGCAUGGCACAUGGAGACAGACAACAGUCGCACACACAAUCACACCUAUGGGCAAUUUAGAGUGUCCAAUUAAUGUAACAUAAAACCAUUUUUUAAAAACUUCUUGGAUUACAGCCACAUGUGUACAUUUGACUUACACCCUGCUUAUUUUAUUUAGAAUCCAUUGCAGUAUAAAGUUGUCAACAAUGAAAGAAAAAACAUAUUUUCCAGGUACAUAGACACGAGUCAGCGAGAGGUUCCACCGCAAUGCGUAUCGUUUCAAAAUUUGUCCCCACGAUCGUAAAACUAGUCGACGCGCUUUCCGACACAAGACACGAGCGCUUGUUGGUCUGACGCUACCAUUUAUUGCAUGCAACGUUUUUCAUAUCAGGCAAUUCGGACAAAAACCCCUCAAAACAUCAAGAAAACGGACAAUGGAAAACUCGACACUUUUUGAAUCACGUAUUUUCCCUCCAGCCGAACCCCGAUGUCAUCAUACGUUAAAUGCUAGUAAAAAGCUCAUGGAAACAUUUGAUUUUACAAAAAACAAUCUCAUAUUUGUACCAAUAUGGUAUGGAAAAUCACUUAGAUUCAGUAUUUGUUCUUAAAUAAAUAGAGCAAUUCCCACUGGACACGAAUAGAGGCACUUGAGUUUUGUUUUUUUUUUUGUUUUCCGUUUUUUUUUUGUUUUUUUUUUUGUCAAAUUUCCACAUCCGCAUCGUCUUCCGUACACAUUCAGCAGUGGUUACAUGAUUGAGAACCCAAAACGCUCACUCUCGAUGAGACCAUGACAACAACAACGACAACAAAAAUAAAUACGAUUCAAAUCAAACAACAAGUGUCGGCGUUUUACGUGCCAUAAAAAAAUGGCAGAUUUGUUUGCUGUGCGAAUGCGACCGAAAAGAAACACACACGGAUCUCUUUUUCUCAUCUCUCUCUCUCUCUCUCGCGCGCACACGCACGUUACAGAAUAUAGAUAUUCAAUAUCUGGUUUCACGUCAUUCGAUCGUCUGCUCACUUUGAACUGACACAAACAACCACGAGAACAAGAACACGACAACGUCACUGUUUGCAGGGGGCGGUGGGGCGGUGGGGGGGGGGUCACAGUCUCUAUAUUGCGGAGCACAAACAUCACUUGUCCAGUCGGUUUACCGAAGAAGACUCGACACGUUCGGCUGUACACGGGUACACACACACACACGCACACAACAACACGAGGAACCACCAAAAUGUCCGGCGCCCAUUUGAUCCGUUUUUUUUUUUUUUUAUUUAUUUUUUUUGUGCAAAGUUGUCGUCGUUGCACAGUCUGUGGGUGGGGAAAGGUUAGAAAGGUUGGAAUCUUGGAUUUGAUUGUGCAACUUUGGACAGUUUGCGGGGUUGGUGGGUUGCCGCGGGAGCCAGAACUGAGCCAACAUCGGUAAAAAUAACCAGUAAGGCUGAGAAAAAAAACAAACCUCAAGACAAUAACAAAAAAGGCAGCAUUCUGUGCGUGCUGAAAAUUGGCAAAUAUUUCUCUUGGAACAAUAAAAAGAAAAAGGUCCCAAGUAAAUUCUAAUUAUCCCCACAGGUUAGCGUUUAUAUUUGGUUCAUUUUCCAGCAGCACAACAACAAACGGGUUUGUAUUCAAGCUGCUAUAUUUAGAACUGUUGGGAAUAAUAUUAUUAAUAAUAAUAAUAAUAAGGUCAUUUCAAAAGGGGGGCACUGUCAGGUUAUGAUUGCUGGCAGGAUUUAGUCCAAAAGUGCCUUAAGAAGAAGUAAUCAGCGGAUUAAGAUGUAACCAUACAAUCAGAUGGCAGGAAACAAAUUUCGGAAACCGCCGUCAACGUCUAGAUUGUAAGUAAAACAUCCAUCCAUCCAUUUUCUUUGCCGCUUAUCCUCAUGAGGGUUGCGGGGAGUGCUGGAGCCUAUCUCAGCUGUCAACGGGCAGGAGGCGGGGUACACCCUAAACUGGUCGCCAGCCAAUCGCAGGGCACAUCGAGACAAACAGUCACACUUAAAAUCACACCUAGAGGCAAUUUAGAGUCUUUUUUGGAAUGUGGGAGGAAACCGGAGUGCCCGGAGGAACCCCACCUAGAAACGGGGAGAACAUGCACACUCCACACAGGCGGGGUCCGGGAUUGAACCCCAGGACCUCAGAACUGUGAGGCCAAUGCUUUACCAGCUGAGCCACCGCCAAAGUGGUUUAAAAAAAAAAAAAAAAGAA